GAUGAACGCUGGCGGCGUGCCUAAUACAUGCAAGUCGAGCGGACGGACGAGAAGCUUGCUUCUCUGAUGUUAGCGGCGGACGGGUGUGUAACACGUGGAUAACCUACCUAUAAGACUGGGAUAACUUCGGGAAACCGGCGCUAAUACCGGAUGAUAUUUUGAACCGCAUGGUUCAAAGGUGAAAGACGGUCUUGCUGUCACUUAUCGCUGGUUCCGCGCUGCAUGAGCUAGUUGGUAAGGUAACGGCUUACCAAGGCUACGAUGCAUAGCCGACCGGAGAGGGUGAUCGGCCACACUGGAACUGAGACACGGUCCAGACUCCUACGGGAGGCAGCAGUAGGGAAUCUUACGCAAUGGGCGAGAGCCUGACGGAGCAACGCCGCGUGAGUGAUGAAGGUCUUCGGAUCGUAAAACUCUGUUAUUAGGGAAGAACAUAUGUGUAAGUAACUGUGCACAUCUUGACGGUACCUAAUCAGAAAGCAACGGCUAACUACGUG
rnacentral:rRNA from 1 species